AUGGUUUUUCUCCUUGAUAAAAAUCCAAUUGCUUGGAUGUCUCAAAAGCAAAGAGUGGCGGCACAAUCUUCAUGUGAAGCUGAAUACAUUGCUGCUGCCAUUGUUGCAUCCCAUGGAGUAUGGUUGGAGCGCCUGCUAGCUGAGAUGGUCGAGAGAGAACCCGAGAAGGUGAUGUUAUUUGUCGAGAACAAGGCAGCAAUAUCACUGAGUAACAACCCUGUCGACCAUGAGCGAAGUAAACAUAUUGAUAUUCGCUACCAUUUCAUCCGUGAAUGUGUGGAGGAAGGGAAGGUGAAGGUAAAGCAUGUGGCAUCUAAUGAACAACUUGCAGACCUCCUGAUGAAGCCUCUGGGUCGUGUGAAGUUUGAAGAACUUCGGCGCAGAGUUGGAGUGGUGAACGUCAAAGACAAUCGCUAA
rnacentral:rRNA from 1 species